AGACCAAGGAAGGAGAAGCCGCCGGAGCCAGUAAAGUACUCCCUUGGUGGUCAAAUUCCGGAGGGCUAAAUGUGUGUGUGCAUGAAUGAUCACAAAUAACCCUACCUGCGGUGUUGUUCAUGUGGAUGGUGACAAGACCUACUGCUGGACAGAAGGUCUUUUAGCACAGGUGCUGCCUUUGGACUUUCCAGUGCCUCAGCAUCAGCCUGGGGAUCACGUUCUCAUCAAAGAGGGGAAAGAAGGGAAACUCGAGCCAGCCCGGGAAGGACCCUACCUUGUGCUGCUAACCACUGAGACUGCUGUUCGUAAGGUUGGAAAGAGAUGGACACAUCACACAUGAGUCAAGCAAGC
rnacentral:lncRNA from 1 species